CCCAGGUGUCCCCAGGUGUCCCCAGGUGUGUCCAGGUGUGCUCAGGUGUGACCCCAGGUGUCCCCAGGUGUCCCCAGGUGUGUCCAGGUGUGCUCAGGUGUGUCCCCAACCCCUCCCAGGUCCCCGCCCCUGCUCCAGGUGCGUCUCUCGCUCACCUUCGAGCCCCAGGUGAUUCCGGCCGUGGUUUCCGAGUGUCCCGAGGAGGGGGAGGAGCCUCGGGCUCACCUGGCGCGGGCGCGGCUCUGCUUCACCUGCGCCAAACGCAGCCGCGACAGCUUCGGUUCCGAGCCCUCUCUCCUUCUCCGCUUCCGGGCCGAGCUCGAUCCCGGGAGGCUCCGGAGCCGCGGAAUUUUCGCUUCCGGAACCUUCCAGAACGGGAGCCUCCGGAUGGGGGAGGGGCGGAGCUGCCGGACCCUCGAGAUCUUCUCCAAGGGCUGCCCCCAGGACACGCUGACCCCUCUGACCCUUCGGGUGACCCUCGGUGGUCUCGGGGAGCCUCUGGAAGCGGCCGGAGGGCUCCGGCCACAGCUCGGACCCGACUCGGACACGGCCGUGACGGCCUCGGUGAGUGAGCGCAGAAAGUGACCCAAAACGGGCUAAAAAUGACCCAAAAAUCACCCAAAAUACACCCAAAAAUUGCACAAAAA
rnacentral:lncRNA from 1 species